rnacentral:rRNA from 1 species
UAACUCUAGAGUUUGAUCCUGGCUCAGAAUGAACGCUGGCGGCAGGCCUAACACAUGCAAGUCGAACGGAGUUAUAUUGUAGCUUGCUAUGGUAUAACUUAGUGGCAGACGGGUGAGUAAUGUAUAGGAAUCUACCUAGUAGUACGGAAUAAUUGUUGGAAACGGCAACUAAUACCGUAUACGCCCUACGGGGGAAAGAUUUAUCGCUAUUAGAUGAGCCUAUAUUAGAUUAGCUAGUUGGUAAGGUAAUGGCUUACCAAGGCAAUGAUCUAUAGCUGAUCUGAGAGGAUGAUCAGCCACACUGGAACUGAGAUACGGUCCAGACUCCUACGGGAGGCAGCAGUGGGGAAUAUUGGACAAUGGGCGAAAGCCUGAUCCAGCCAUGCCGCAUGAGUGAAGAAGGCCUUUGGGUUGUAAAGCUCUUUCGGUGAGGAAGAUAAUGACGGUACUCACAGAAGAAGUCCUGGCUAACUCCGUGCCAGCAGCCGCGGUAAUACGGAGAGGGCUAGCGUUAUUCGGAAUUAUUGGGCGUAAAGGGCGCGUANGCGGGUUAGUAAGUUAAAAGUGAAAUCCCAAGGCUCAACCUUGGAACUGCUUUUAAAACUGCUAGUCUAGAGAUUGAAAGAGGAUAGAGGAAUUCCUAGUGUANAGGUGAAA